UACAGAGGUCUCAAGCGUUGUUCGGAUUCAUUGGGCGUAAAGGGUGUGUAGGUGGCGCGCUAAGUCGGGGUGUGAAAUUUCGGAGCUUAACUCCGAAACUGCAUUCGAUACUGGCGUGCUUGAGGACUGGAGAGGAGACUGGAAUUCAUGGUGUAGCAGUGAAAUGCGUAGAGAUCAUGAGGAAGACCAGUGGCGAAGGCGGGUCUCUGGACAGUUCCUGACACUGAGACACGAAGGCCAGGGGGAGCAAAACGGGG
rnacentral:rRNA from 1 species